GGGAAGCGCGGAGAUGACGGCGCCCGCCCUCCCGCCGCCGCCGUAAGGUUGCUCCGACUGUGUGCUCCAGGAGUGGUGGCUCUGAGGUGUGACCCUGCCCACCUUUGGGCCCAGCCCGGUUCAGCCGCCCAGUAAGGAGGGCAGCUUGAUAACCCAAAACAGUGUCAACGAGUACUACCAAGAGAAGAAGAAAAGAGGUCAACACAGACUCAUUUUCUACUCCAUGUGAAUGAUAGCUACAGCAGGGGGAAGUUUCAUAGUCUAUCAGUUGGGUCAGAAAAUGGAGUUUUAUGGCAGAGGCUUCUUAG
rnacentral:lncRNA from 1 species